rnacentral:rRNA from 1 species
AGGUAGAAUUAAUUAACUGUGUAAAGUAUAGUUUAUUGAUCUUGAAAAACUAAAUUGCUUGGCGGCUGAUCAAUUAAAUAGAGAAGUAUGUUUUUUAAUGGAUAACACACAAAAACCUUACCUACUAUAGUUUAUUCAUUUGGUACACCGCCGUCGGAAGGGUAAUUCUAAUGAAUUUUCCCUGGUCUUUAAAAGAAUUAAGUCAGGUCAAUGCACCGACUAUUAUUAGGUUAAAAUGUAUUUCAUUAUUAUUAUUAUGUCUGAAAAUUUCAUUUAAUGAAACUUGAAUUUUAUAAUUUAAGUAAAUGAAUUUAUAAGUAAAUUUUGUUCAUCA